GUCCAGGAGAAACUUGUACUGACGCCCAAAACGUAGAGUCCAGGAAAAACUUGUGGGCCACGUAUGGUGGCUAGUGAUAUGCUGUCAGGCAUUGGGUAUAAAAGACUCUGCACUCAUAACUGCAGGCGGAACUCCUGUGCUGAGCUUCCCCUGGUAUAUACCAGAAUAAAGGACCCUUCCUGUUUGAUUGCAUUGUCUGUGGGGUCUUCCAUGGUGGCGGGUGACGAACUGGACCCUAACAUUUGGGGGCUUGUCCGGGAUCCCUCCACCUUGGAACCCCCCAGACAGGAGGGCCUAAGGCACUGCCUUGGACCAGACCUUUAGUACACUUCUCUCUUAGGGACUGACUUCCCCUUGUGACCAGUCUGCCAAUCGAGGGAAGGAGUGACAGGACACCCUUCAGAUCUCCAGGCAGUUCUCCACCGACCUGGGACCCUGGAAUCCACUGAGGAUGCGCCCCUAAAGACACUGUCUGCAGCCUUCCCUCCCCCUCUUAUUCCCCUCCCUCUCUCUCCUACACACAGGUAGGGACAGCUCUACAGCCAUGCUCAGCACUGAAGAAACUACAGAAGAUUUGGACCUCAGCCCUUUUUCCCUUAGACAUUUGGAGAGGGGAGGGGAUGGGAUGGCAGGGGGCACUGAACCAGGUGGGGCCUGAGAUUCUGGCCCUCUGGGAGGCUGUGUGGUUCCCCUAUGGAUGGCUGGGCUGGCCAGAUGGCAGGACUCACUAGAAGCAGUGGGGAGACAGCUAGCAAAAGGAAUACAUGACCCACUCACUUCCAUUACUUCACUUUCUCCCCCACCCCUUGGUUUCCCCCUCCCUUGUCACAGAGUAUCCCUCAAUCGGGAGAUACCUUAUCCCACCCGCAGGAGCGCACUGGCUGUGCCCCCGUUCUGGCCUACAGCCCUGUGUCUCCCCUAGAUCCCUCACUGCCCACUGCACCCCCUCUCAAUAGUACCCCGAGUGACCUACUAUGCCAAGCAGGACCUCCUCUUCCUUAAGGAGGGGGCCUCUGUGCAGCCUUGGGUGAGGAGUGCUACUUCUAUGUUAACCACUCAGGGAUCAUUAGGGACUCCCUGAGCAAGCUAUGAGAAGGUCUAGAAGCCCUGACGGAAGGAGGGGGAAACUGCCGGCCCCUGGUACGCGACCUUUUCAAUUCUUCUCCCUAGUCACGUCCCUCAUAGGACCCCUCAUAAGCUUAACCCUGCUCUUGACAUUUGGCCCCUGCGUUUUUAACCGCCUUGUUCGGUUCAUGAAAGGCCGGCUGGGUGCCACCCAGGUGUUGGCCCUCCGACAACAGUACCGACCCCUAGCGAGCCCCGGGCUGAGGGCCACAAGCUGCCUCAGUGGCCAGGCCUUCCCUCUGCCUCCUAAGAGAAAAAGGAGUUGGGAAUGAAGGAGCCCCAAGCAGGGAGCUGCUUGGUCAGUACAGCACAUAUCACUAUAGGACAUCUGACCAACAGACCCCUGUCAGGGAACCUAAAUGUGCCAACGCCCAAAACAUAGAUUCCAGGAGAACUUGUGGGCCACGUGUGGUGGCUAGUGAUAUGCUGUCAGGCUUCGGGUAUAAAAGACUGCACUCACAACUGCAGGUGGAACUCUUGUGCUGAGCUUCCCCUGGGGUAUACCAGAAUAAAGGACCCUCCUGCUUGA